UCCAUCUUCUUUUGGCUCAAACCAGAUUAUACUAUACUUGAGAGGUCCGUUCGAGUCGAGGUUGUGGUUGAAAUUCAUCGGUGAAGGUUCGUGGUAUAGGUCCUGGUCACGAUUGAUUUCGUAUGCUAAUUUGAAGCUCCUCUUCGUUGUAAACAUUGAAAAAUUUCAGCAAUAGAAGAUCUUCAUCUAUAAAAGGUUUGUUUUAUUUGAUUUGAGUGAAUACCGGUUGGUGAUUAACUAGUCAGUCCAUCUUGGCUCAUGAAAUUUGGAAGGUUGGCUGAAUUAUAUUGAUGGAAUUAAACCUCUGUUGCUCGCUUCGUUUUUAAAAACUAUUGUACAUUAGAUCAAAAAAUAAAAUUCGGAGCAGGGGACUUCAAAGUUAGUUAUUAGUGAUUGAUAUAGUGGUUGUAUAUGUGGCUUAUCUUGUUUUUUGGUUAAGAUAUGAGAUUUUGUUUUAGAUCAAAAAUGGCUUAUCUCGUUU